rnacentral:lncRNA from 1 species
GCAAGAAUAUAAUACGGAUUCUUCCCUACUUAGAUCCUCCGUUACAUGUUUUCGCAAAAGAGAAUUGGUUCAGGUAUGUUAAGACUAUCCCUUCUUUCUUUUUGUCAUGAUCUAUACGACACAAACGAAAUGAGCAAAUGUACAAUUUCCAUAAAUGACUCUAUUCAUAAAAAUACUAGAGAUACUUAUUCUUGAUUUCCCAUGUGUCAUAAUUUUUUGGGUAACUAUAAUCUUUAUUUACCAAAAAGUAUAUGUACAGCUCAAGAAAUGAAAAAAUAACCUAUCUCUUUUCAACUGGUUAGACAUAGUCUCAGCCUAUCUUUUUACUAACUACUCUAUACAGCCUCAUGGAUAAAAAUUUAAACUUUGCAGCUUCAUCCUCAAUCUCAUCUUCAUGCUUCUUCUAUAGAAUAUCUUUUAUAUAAUCACUCUGACUAUCUGCCCCACUGAUCUUUGUUUUUGUUGAAAUACUCAGAGAUUUCUUUCUUGCCGUAUUUGAUACACACUUCUAGCUAGUGGCAUUCUGUAAACUUCAUCAAGUGCACUCUUUCCAUUAUGAUGCAAUAUAGCCUACCGUAUAUCAUCAUCCCAAUUUAUAGGUUGCCUAAAUAUACCUUGCCACUAUAACAAUUUUUGCCACACUUCCGUAGAUAUUAUACAUUUGUAGAAAAGAUGUGCUAUACUUUCCUCAGUCGCUCCACACAUAAGGCAAGUUGCAUCCUGUAUCACUCCCCAUCUCUUCCAUAUGUCCCUAGUAUAUAGUCUCCCAUGUGCUGUGAGCAAAAGUAUAAAAUUCCAUUUAGGGGCACUCUGAUUGUUGCAAGUCAGCCUCUUCCAAGCCACCUUUGCUAUAUUACCACUCAACUUGCAAUAGAUGUUGUUAAUUGAGAAUUGUUCGAUAUUAAUCAGUUCAUCCAUACUCAUUCCAGCAUGUGUUACAUAGUUGUGAGCCAUCAAAAUAUUUUGCACUACCUAAGAAGCCUGCGUGAAUUUGACCUCCCUAAUGUUGCUUAUUCCCCCAUAGUAGGGAUGCACCCAUCUCACCCACAAUUGUCUUUCUUCUUGCACACAUUCCAUAAUUGCUUAUAAAUUACAGCUUUGUUCCAUAGCUCAACAUCAAUAAAGUUUACACCUCCUGCAGUUUUAGGAUAGCACAGUGUUUCCCACCAUAAGAAUUUCCUGCACGUUGCCACUAUUUCAUUCAUAAUAUUCAUAGGCAGAACAAAUAUUUGUGACUAUAAUGUUUGUAUAGAGAAUAGGACAAUCUUGAUCAGCACAAUUCUUCCAGCGUAAGAAAGAAAUUUAGAUGUCUACCCUAUGAUUCUGCCAAGCAUCUUCUCCACCAAGAGUUAGCAUUGAGUAAUAGCCAGACUCUUAGAACUCAAAGGCACUCCUAAAUACCUGAAGGUGAGCUCACCUUUGGGAAAGCCAAGAACAUCUAAUAAUUGUUAUUGUAAGACUGGAUAAUUCCUCUGCAAUAGACUCAGAUUUUGUUUGGAUUUGCAAUAAGUCCCGAUGCCUUAGAGAAAACCUUAAAACAGUUGUAGAGCAAUUAUAAAGAUUCUUUGUCACCCUUACAAAAUAGUAGAAGAACAUCCGCACAUCCUAGCUAAGUAAUCUUAGUCCUUGCACACUUAGGAUGGAAUUUGAAGGCAGGGUUAUUUGUCAAUUGCUUCAGUAGCCUACUCAGGUAUUCCAUGGCAAUUACAAACAGGUAAGGUAACACUCGGUCCCCUUGCCUUAGACCCCUCUUAGCAGCAAAUGGCCUACUAGGCUUACCAUUGAUACUGAUUGAAUAAGAGACUGUCCUUAAACAGCUCAUAAUCUAAUUAGUAAAGUUAACAGGAAAGUUCAAACAAUGUAACAUUUGUUCAAUAUAAAUCAAUUCCACCGAGUCGUAUGCCUUUAGCGUGUUAUUUUAACCAUUCACCUAGGAAAAAUAACUUUCCUACCAUAGCCAUUUUUGAGUUCAUGGCUUAUGAUGAUGUUGUCACUUAUGAUUCUACCUGGCACAAAGGCUGAUUGGCUUUGAUCUAUCAAAUCAGGCAUAACCAGUUAUAGUCUCUUAGUAAGUAUCUUCGAAAUGAUUUUAUACAGCACAAUGCAGUAAGUGAUGGGCCUAAACUCUUUUAUUGUUGGAGGGUUCUUCAGCUUUGGCACAAGUGUUACUGAUGUGCAGUUUAUAAGCUUGAAUUUGUUGCCUGUAUGAAAGAAAUCCAACACAGCAUCAGUGAUUUCUUCUCCUACUACCUGCCAUCUUUUCUUGAAGAAAUGUGAAUUAAAACCAUCGCAUCCCGGAGCCUUCUAGUCAUCAAUAUCCUCCACUGCAUUGUAUACCCCUUCUCUAUAGACGGAUUCUAUCAGUUUUAAUUGUUGCUCUCUUGUUAGCUUAUGUCCUUCAUUAAGCAUCUCUAGUUGAAUUGUUGGUAACUCCUCGGCUGUAGUCCCAAGUAACUUUUGAUAGAACUUGACAACUUCAAUCUCCACUUCCUUCUCAUUAUAUGUUAUAUUACCAACAUUAGUGUUAAGUCUUCUUAUUUGGUUAUGGGCGGUCUUAUUCUUCAUGCAAUCAUAGAAAAUAUGCAUUGUUAGUAUCCCCUAAUUGUAGCCAUUUCACUCUUGAAUUUUGCUUAAGGAUGCUUUCUUCAAUCAAUACCCAUUUUUCUAGUUGCUAUUUCAAUUCUUUCUCCUCAUCAGUUAGUUCCACCUACUUCUGGAGAUUUCUUGUCUCAUGUUGUAUCUCAGCCAGCUCAUUCCUGUAAUAUUCCACCUUUUCUGCAACUUUUGAAAAUUCUCUGUAGUUUAGUGUCUUUAACGCCAGUUUAACCUGCUUUAGCUUAUACCAAACUGCUUCCAUCCCCCUCAUAUAUUGUCCACAGUUCCAUUUGUUAUUCAUCAACGAGAUAAAGCCAGGAUGAUGGACCAAAUGAAUGAAGAAUCUGAAUAGACUAUCCCCUUUGAGUCCUCUCCCUCUUACCUCUAUGGCUAGAGGUGUAUGAUCUGAGAAAUAGGGAUCUAGUGUUGUAGCUUCCACAUGUGUCCAAACAUUAAUCCAUUCGCUCAAUCAAUUUUGCUAAGUACAUGGUUAUUAGUCUAUGUAUAUCUUCUUCCAUUCGUUUUGAGCUCCACCAUGAAUCUCUUGAAAUCAGCCACCUCAUAUUCCUCCACAGGGUUCUCCUUAAUUUUAUCAUCAUAGUGUCUUAUAGAAUUAUAGUCUCCCAUGGUAAAUCAUGCCUCCUUUUGUACACGAGCAAUAGCUAUUAGCUCAAUCCAUAACAAUCUUCUAGCAGCCACAAUAUGCAACCCAUAGACUACUGUUAGUUAGAACCCCACAUUCAAAGCACAUAUCAUCACAACCCCAUGAAUAAGCUGUGGGUAUGUAGAUAUUUCAGUGAAUACAAUUUCAUCAGGUUUCCAUAAUAUCCAUAUUCUACACCUUCCAUUUGCAUCAUAAUUUGAACAUCAAUGCCAACCUGCAGCUACCCUUUUGAUUAGUUGUUCAACAUAUUUUCCUUGCACCUUAUGUUCUAGUAUUGCAAUAAAUCCUACCUUAUUGUGCUUCAGAAACUUUAUUAACUCUGCCUGCUUAUGCACUUUAUUCAGGCCUCUAUCAUUCCACGUAAUAAGCUUUAAUAUUCAGAAUUAGGAGGUUUAUCCACAAGCCCCAUAUAGCUACACUAUGCACGAUCUCCUCUAGUCCCUUCAUCCACCUGUUGUUGUUUGCUUGGCAUUCCUAGGGAGCUGAAUGCAUUUGUUACAGCCAGCUUAUCAUGCCUGACUGUUGUUUGCCCACUUCGAUUAGCUGACUUGCCUCUAAUAUCCCCAUGUGUCAUAUUAUUCUAUCAUUUAUUCAUGGGUAUCAGAAAAUACGUAAGUUGACAAAGUUUAUUUCAUGAUGUUAAUCAAAGGCAUAAUGAUUUUAUCACAGUCUGAAAGAUUUUAUUGAUGUACUUCUCAUGCAUUGCAUUCAUUUACAUUUACCCAUGACUAGCUGUCAUUAUAUACGCAUAUAUAUGUAAAUAUAUGUAUAUGGGACAUGGGAAAAGGUUACGACGUUAUAUACGCAUCACCACCUGAUCAACUGGUAUAUGUUGAUACCCAAUUUUUCCCUAUAAUAUUUUUUGAAACGCAUAUAUACCAUUAAAACUAUGCAUUAGCAUCAAUGGGUAUUUUUCCAUAUUUUCGCAUUUUUUAAUUAAUUUUUCUCAAUAGUUUCUUCAUAUAAAUAAUUACAAAAUUGCAUCAUAGAUGAUUUUAAAACAUCUCUUGAUUUAAUAUUACAAUUUAUGGUCUUAUUAAGUUCUAAUUAUUUCACAAAUGGCCAGAUUUAUACCUUUUGGUUAUAAUUGCACUGAUUUUGCAAUUAUAGCCCAUGCACACAUCACUGCAUAAUUUUGCCAGAAAUUGAUCCCUUAUAUUUUUAAAAUAUUGAAUAAUUAAUUUGAGACUUUCUAUGCAUGAAAAUUAUUUUUUUCUCAUUGUUAAUUAUUUUACAAAAUAAUUUUAUUCAAUUAUUUGGGUAUUUAGCAAAUAGCCUUUUAAUCUCCCUAAUUUUCGGUCCCAAAAACCAGCCCAAAUUCUUAACCCAAUUCACCACAGGACCAAAAGGCAAUUAGACUCGACCCAUCCCCCCUAAUCCUGGUUGUUGAUCUCUGAGAUCAACGACCCAUUUUGAUUCUUACCAAUUUUAACUCCAAACGACCCCCUCAUAACCUAAAUCAUUUUUCACCAUACCCCGUUGUCACUUGUUCCCUUCAUUUUCAAACUCUUUCCACCUAAACCCUAAUCCUCAGGCACCGUCACUGGUUUGUCCCUCCGUUCUAUGAUGUUUCUCUUUCGUCUCAGGCCUAUACUGACCUCCUAUUUGCUAUGGUUCAUCAGUUUCUUAGAUCCUUGGGAAGAUCUCAAGGGACCUAGACGGUCUGGUUUACACCUUUGAUUUUUUGCUUAUUUCAAACCAUUUGCUCGACCAUGAGUAGUAAACCUCUUUUAUUUUGAUAUGAAUCCAUAAUUUUCUAGGCUUAUGUUCUCGUCUCUGCCAUGCUUUCUAAAAACCCUAAUUUUUUAUCUCUGAUCUUCUCAGAUUUGUAUAGAUCUGAGACGAAUCGAACAUAUCUCACAUGUUUUCCUUGAAGGUUUUUGGUUUCCAUCUGAUUCCCCAUUUUCCUUAACUAGGGUUUACCCUAGGUCAUCUUCUCCAAAGGUUUUUCGAACUUUUGAAUGCUUAGUCGUUUGUUCUUAAGCGUUUUGACUGAUUUAUGCUAAAGUUGUAUAAGUCCUAAGUCGAUUUGUGUUAAAACUAUAACUGUCUGAUAUUUUGCUUCAAUUCUGAGCUUUUCAAAGUUACCAGCCGUGUUGGUUCAUUCUGUAUUCUAAUUUACAUGCCUUUCCUUAGUCGGAUUCCUUAUUUUGUGAUUUUUUAUCCUAAUUAAUCUCUAUUAGGGUUUUGAAUUUUUUCCGCCUAAUUUCUCUAUGUCCCUAAAGUUUUAUUCAGCAUAUUUUAUUUAUGAAAAUUGAAAUAUUCUUUUCAAAAUUGUUGAGUGAUUUGCUCUGUUAACUUUAUGUGUAUGAUCCUUGAUUAUUACCUUGUUGAUGACUUUAAUUAGUUUUCUUGCCUUAUUUAUUUGCCUAUAGUAUAUACUGAUUCUUUGCAUGAUUAUUUCCUUAAUUAGAUUCUUAAUUAUUCACUCUUUGUUUAAGUCUGAUUUGAAUUUCUUUUUUCUUAAAUAUUUCUUGUCCUUACUGUUAGUUAAUUACCCUUAAUUAAGGGAAGAUUAAGCUUAUUUUUCGUGUAAUUGAUUCUAUGAUCUUCCCUUGAUUAACUAAAGUUGAUUUUUUUACCUUAUUGGCUUUACUCUUGAACUACUAUAUAGACUUCUCUGUUUUUACUUCACAACACACGAACAUCAGUUCACAACAUACUCGUACAUUCAAACUCUUCUCCUUCUUUGCUACUUGUGCUACUUGUGAUAUUGUGGGUCUAGUCAGCUAAAAGCCAAGGCUAGAUAUUUGAACUACACUUGCUCUAUAUUCGACACACUUUUUUUUCUUAGACUGGUAUGUCUCUUGUUAAAUUUGAAACCCAAACUAUAUGUGUUUUAUUCCUGCACUAGUUCAUUGACUAUGAAUUUAACUUGUCCUCUUAUUUACUUCUUUGCUUAGCAUGCCUAAAUUCUGCCCUGUUCAAUGUAUAACUAGUAUGUCUACACUUCACCAGUUAUCUGAUGCUUGACCAGCCUGUUUGUGAUUUAUGUUUAAUCCCUUAACUAUGUGAUCAUGUUGGUUACUUUAUACAUAUGGUUGAUCCUACUUGUGUGUCUAAUUUUGUCCUCUACAUAUUUACUUCAUGUCUUAAUUGCCUACAAUCCAGGUUAAUUUGUUAAGGUUAUGAAGCUCCUAAGUGUUCUAUGCAUAUUGUUGUCUACAUGCCUCCCCGUACCCUAUUAAUGUACCCUCAAUGAGAUUCCUAUAUAUUCCCAAUCCCUUUCACCCAUGUGUGCAAACCUGCUUGUUGAAGUGCUUGUGAAUCUGAACCUUCUAUGAUUGACUGACUGUGAUGACCAGGCCAGUCGUCUCAUAAGUUACCGCUCUGUUUUACAUAUUUAUGCUUCUUUAUGCUUUGUUAUCCUUGUUUCAUGGUAUCAGGUUGGUUGGAUAGAAUCCGGAAUGAUUUUAGUAAAGUUUGAGACACUUAGUCUCUUUUAAGAAAGCUUAAGUUGGAAAAGUCAACCGGAUGUUGACUUAUGUGUUAGAGGGCUCGAAAGUGAGUUCCGAGGGUUCGGUUAGUUUUGGGAGGUGAUUUAUGACUUAGGAGCAUGAUCGAAGUGAAUUUUGGAGGUUCGCAGUAUAUUUAGGCUUGAAUUGGAGAAGUUGAUAUUUUGGCGAUUUUUAGUUGGUAGGCGAUAUUUUGAUAUAGGAGCCGCAAUAAAAUUCCAAGAGUUGCAGUAGUUUUGUUGUUUCAUUUGGGAUGUGUGUGCAAAAUUUGAAGUCAUUCGGACGUGGUUUGGUUGGGUUUUUGAUCAAAAGCGGAAUUUGGAAGAUUUUAGAAAAUUUAGCUUGAAUCCGAUGUGUUUUGGUUGAUUUGAUGUUGUUUGAGGUGUUUUGAAGAUUGGUACAAGUUUGAAUAAGGUAUUAGGAUAUUUUUGUAUUUUUGGUUGAGGUCCCGGGGGCCUUGGGAUGAUUUCGGAUGGUUAACGGAGAAGUUGGAAUUUUGUUGCUGCUACCGAAUUUGCUGCUUCUGGUAUUUCCGCACCUGCGGAUUGGGGACCGCAGGUGCGAUAAGGGAGGCCCCAGAAGCGGGAAGUGCUGAGGGAGUCAGGAACCGCAGAAGUGGUGAGAUGGACAGCAUCUGCGAUGUCGCAGAUGCGGAUGAGGGCUUGCAGAUGCGGAAAAUAGUGAGUUAAGUGAUUUCCGUAGAAGCGGAGAAACAACCGCAAAUGCGGUACCGCAGAAGCGGGUAUUGGGCCGCAUAUGCAAAAAGUUCUGGACAGAAAGUAUAAAUUGUGGCCUUCACGAAUUUUGAGCUAUUUCAUCAUUUUUAUCUCGGCAUUGGAGCUUUUUGGGCGAUUUGAAAGAGGGAUUUCAAGGGAACUUCAUUGAGGUAAGGAAUUUGCACAUAAAACUCGUUCCUAUGCUAUUAUUUCAUGGAUUAGAGCUAAAAAUCAUGGAAAUUAAGGGUGAAAAUUGGGGAAACUAGGGCUUGGGAACUUAGGACUUUAAAAUUGAGGAUUUGAAGGACCAUUUGAGGUCGGAUUUCAGAACUUUUGGUAUGUAUGAACUCGUGAAGAGAUAAGAAACCUAUUGAUGUAAAAAUUAUUGAAUUUCGAGAUGUGGGCCCGGGGGUCGGGUUUUGGUAAUUUCGGUAUUUGUGUAGUAUUUUAAUUACUUUCGCUUGGGCUUCGUUCCCUUAGCAUAUUUUGACGUCCUCAUUUUCAUUUUUGAUAGAUUCGACGCGAGUGGAGGCCGAUUCAAGGGGCAAAGGAGUCGUUAGCUAGAGAUUUGACCGGUUUGAGGUGAGUAAUGAUUGUAAAUGAUCUUCUGAGGGUAUGAAACCCCAGACUUGCACAUUGUUGCGCUAUAUUGAGGUGAGGCACACGCUUGAUGACGAGAAUGGAGUCGUGCACUGUUGGAGAUUGUGACUUAGUCCGUACCAAAAGGCUAUUUUACCGCAUAUUUGACUGAAAUCUAUUUGCUAUCAUCAUGAUUUAGGCUGAAUGCCAUAUUUGGGCCUUGUGCCAACUACUUGAACCCUUCGGGGAUUUUUACUGGUAUUUCCUCACUGUUUUGACUUUAUACUUGAACUCAAUCAUGUUAUAUUUUACUGUUUUCGUACUCAGCCAUGUUUACUCUGUUUUAAACACUUAUAUGAUCUUUUAAAUAAUAUUAUUGGGCUGAGAAACAUAUUUUACUACUGCCCGAGUAGCUUGUGAAGAUUUUGACUUAGUAAGGCCGAGGGCUUAUGUUGUGAGGAUUUGAUAUUGAUUAUGAUGCCAAGGGCCUGAUAUAUGUACGCCACGAGGUUUCUUGAUUGAUAAGAGGCCAAGGUCCUAGUGAUGACGCCACAUGAUGGCUUGAUAUUGCGCUUGGACUGUAAGGGGCCCCUCCAGGAGUCUGCACAUCCCCAGUGAGCGCAGGUACCCAUUGUGAUGUGAGAUUGAUCCCGAGGGGCUGGUAUUGCUCUAUGUGAUUGCCCGAGAGGCUGGUACUGUCUUGAGAUGUUGCCCGAGGGGCUGAUUUGUGGAUACUGUGCCCGAGGGGCGAGCCUUUAUGUAUUUACUUUUCAUAAUUAACUGUCAAUUACCUGCUUAAUCAUUGAAAAAGGCUUUUCAUGAAACUACAUUUGAGUUAAAGAAUUUUACCUAUCUUUCACUGAUUUACUGUUUUUAAGUGGUUUUACUGCUUCAUUAUAGAAUGUUUUGUGCCUUACGUGAUUUCUUGCUUUCAGUCUUUAUUUACAUUUGUUACUCACUGAGUUGGAGUACUCACUUUACUCCCUAUACCCAUGUGUGUAGAUUCAGGGCAUUGCUGAUCCUGCCAGUGCAAGUUGAGAGCUCCGGUGGACAUUCAGAGGUCACGAGGUAGCUACUUGACGUCCGCAUACCCGUGUUUCUCCCUCUGUCAUUUCCAUCUCUAUAUCAGACAGUUUGGAAUAGUUUAUAGACUUAUCAAACUUGUAUUAGAACUUGUAGAUGCUCAUGACUAGUGACACCCCAGUAUCGGGUUAUGUUGGGUUGUUCUUCCAUGUAUUUAUGACAUUAUCUACUACUUUGGAUUAAUUUAUCAUGUUUCGACUGUUUUUUAAUGCUUAACUGUUAGUAAUUUGAAAAAGGG